rnacentral:misc_RNA from 1 species
AAUAUCUAUGAUAUCAACAACAAAGUCAUCUAGCUAGCUUUUAAUGUGAAUGAGUUAUAGCCAUUAAAAUUAAUGCAUGAAAAAUGAGUGAGUGCUAAAUGUUAAGAUUUUUGGUGUAUCUAAUAUAAGUUAGAUCUCGUGUAAGAGUGAAUUUUUAAUAAUUGUUAGAUUAAAAAUAUUUAUAUCUGAGAUGUGCGCAUAAUUACAUAUUAAGUAAAGAA